UACGAAGGGGCUAGCGUUGCUCGGAAUCACUGGGCGUAAAGCGCACGUAGGCGGGUCUUUAAGUCAGGGGUGAAAUCCCGGAGCUCAACUCCGGAACUGCCUUUGAUACUGAAGAUCUUGAGUCCGGGAGAGGUGAGUGGAACUGCGAGUGUAGAGGUGAAAAUUCGUAGAUAUUCGCAAGAACACCAGUGGCGAAGGCGGCUCACUGGCCCGGUACUGAACGCUGAGGCACGAAAGCGUGGGGAGCAAACAGGG
rnacentral:rRNA from 1 species